CCCUUAGAUGUUCUGGGCCGCACGCGCGCUACACUGAUGCAUUCAACAAGCAUAGCCUUGACCGAGAGGUCCGGGUAAUCUUUGAAACUGCAUCGUGAUGGGGCUAGAUUAUUGCAAUUAUUAAUCUUCAACGAGGAAUGCCUAGUAAGCGUGAUUCAUCAAAUCGCGUUGAUUACGUCCCUGCCCUUUGUACACACCGCCCGUCGCUCCUACCGAUUGAAUGUGUUGGUGAGGAGCUCGGAUUGGCAGCAGUUGGUGGUUCGCCACCGGCUAUUGCUGAGAAGUCCUCCAAACCGCCCCAUUUAGAGGAAGGAGAAGUCGUAACA
rnacentral:rRNA from 1 species